CCUCCCUGCGGCCGGCUCCCAUGUUUCAUGCUUGGGCCCUAACAAGGAUUAAAUUCCAAAUCAACAAAAUCUCAGCAAGUUAGCAAGAUCAGUCAUGCAAAACGCUUUGCUUCUGAAACGCUCCUUGUGUGCUGAGUUAUAUUUUGAUCGGGACAUGUCUUUUAACUCCCAGAUAUAACAAACUUGACAAACAAACAACCACUGCAAAAACCGGGAUAUCCUAUCUUAAAGUUAUGUGGAAAAACUUUUUCCACAUUUGUAUUUACCAUAUCUACUCAUCUCUACAUAGCUGAGCUGUGUGAUAACAAACACUACCAUCUUCUAACACUUGCUUUACCCUUUGUUCUAUUGUAGCUACAAAAACUCAAGGCCAGAAAACAUUUAAUCUGGUUACAGUCGGUCUGACAUGGGACUAUGCCAAGGCUUACUGCAGAAAAUACUACACAGACCUGGCUAUGAUCGAGAAUGCUACGGAAAAUACAAAAGUGUCGUCAUUAAAGACAAUACUUAAUACUGUGUGGAUUGGCUUGUACCGAAUACCAUGGAGGUGGUCUGACAAGAGCAACAGCAACUUCAGAAACUGGGAAAGCGGACAGCCGGAUGGUGAACAAUACUGUGCAGCUGAGACGUCGGACCACUAUUGGGAUGAUGUGAGCUGUGAUAACAAGCUUUCAUUCUUCUGUUAUGGAGGUGAAAAAAAGUGAUAAAUUAAUGUGUUUGUUGGACUGUCCAGCCCUAAAAGUGAAGAUAACUGUGGUGAGGAUGAAGAUUUAGACUGAUGCUGAACUUUCAGAUCCAGCUACUAAUGCCCAAAUCCUUCAACAGCUAGGUGCAGGGCUGACGGACAAGACUUCACUGUGACUGACUUCAACCUGCGGUGGAAGAUUCAACCCAGAAAACAGUAAAAGAGAAAUGGAGAGAAUGAUGAAGCCAAUGGAAAAGAUGUCCUUUGUAAUUGAUGUUUUCAACAAGUUGCAAAGGCAGAAUGCAUGUAACAAUAAUUAAUGUAGCCAGAUUACUUUGUUAAUCAAAUCUAGUAGAUCAAAUAAUCUACCAUGAGAUGAACUGUAAAACAAAGAUUGUUCACUCACCUCUUGUGAAAAAUUACAUGCAGUAGGCUAUAUUGUGCAUUUUAAAAGUAACUAAACACCAGGCUGUAAAGCACUGUUUAACUACUCUCUAUGGUUGAAUGUUUCAGUGAAAACACGGAAGGUCAGCAAAGAUGUGAUUUUCAAGGGUUGUUAGUUACUCUUUAAACUAACAAACCUAAAAAAAGGUGAUGAUUUAAUGUUUUAUCUGAGGUGAGUAAUUAUGGUAUAGGUUCAAAGAAACACUCGCAGGUGUCUUGAUAUAUGAAAGGCAAAUGCCAUCCUUCACCUUUGGCUUGUCCAUUUUUAUAAAUUCAGGUGACCUCUUUCUGUAUCACUACUGAUUCUUUGGUGUUGAUUUAUUUUACUCUAGCAGGUAGGUCCACUGUAAGAUAUUUAAUUGUGGUAUUUUUGUGAGUUCUAAAUCUAGUAUUUGUCUAUGAUAGGUAGUCUACAGUACAACAAAAUGACAGACUUUAGCUGUAAUCCAUGGCUUUCUGUAAUUGUCUACUUAAUAAAGUUAAUGUACUGCA